ACCCUUUCUUGGUUCAUUAGUAUGAUGACUGGGUUUUUACAGAAUUGUGUGAGAUGUGCCUCCCUCUAGACCUUGUUACAGUGUCAGCAUAUUACUUGUCUGACA